rnacentral:rRNA from 1 species
UACGUAGGCAGCAAGCGUUGUUCGGAAUUACUGGGCGUAAAGAGCGUGUAGGCGGCCAUACAGGUCAGCUGUGAAAACUCGAGGCUCAACCUCGAGACGUCGGUUGAAACCGUAUGGCUAGAGUCCGGAAGAGGAGAGUGGAAUUCCCGGUGUAGCGGUGAAAUGCGCAGAUAUCGGGAAGAACACCCGUGGCGAAGGCGGCUCUCUGGGACGGUACUGACGCUGAGACGCGAAAGCGUGGGGAGCGAACAGG